CCCCGCCCCGCCGGGUGAGUGGGCCAGGCCGAGAGUCAGGCUGCUCCUGCCCGCUGGGCUGAAUGUGAUCUUGGUGAUGGAGGCCACCAGAACCUGGAGAAAAGGGACGCCUAAAAGAAGUAACUUGGAGAAUUCUACACACCAAGAUUCACUAGCACCUGUGGACCCAGGAACAGUGUCACUACUGCUGCAGAGCCAGGAGCACCAAGCACCUUCUAGAAUAAGAUAGACACCCUGAUGAAUCUUCCUGGAUGCUUGCUGACAUUUCUGAUGCCUUAGGUGACAGGAAGCCUUCUGUGCCACAGAGGGGACUCCCAGGGAGCGACACCAAUGGGUGCAACAGGGUACAGUAAUGAAGAAGUGUCGGAGGGGUCUUAAGAGGAGCCCAGAGGCUGCAUCCCAACCUCUGUGUGGGGGAAUGAUCUCGGCCAGUGAGCUCUCUUCUCCAGAGAGAGUCCUGAGGGCAGCAUUAGGGAUUGGGAGUUGCCAGUCAUGACGCUUAUCCUGUCUCCACUACCCUAGUCUUCCUCGGGAGAAAAAUGCUGAUGUCUUUGGGGAAAUAGUCACCUCCUAUCCUAAAACAAAGUUCAGCCAAGCUCUAUACCAACUAGUAGUGUAGGGUGACUAACAUUUGGAGGGGUUUUUCUCUGCUCCGCAGCAAAGGCAUUUUUGUUUUGUUUUGUUUUUCGAGACAGGGUUUCUCUGUGUAGCUUUGGAACCUAUCCUGGCACUUGCUCUGGAGACCAGGCUAGCUUCGAACUCACGGAGAUCUGCCUGCCUCUGCCUCCCGAGUGCUGGGAUUAAAGGCGUGCGCCACCAAUGCCCAGCUUGUUUUGUUUUUUUAAAGACAGAGUUUCUCUUUGUAGUCCUGGCUCUCCUGGAACCCUCUCUGGCCAGCUGACCCAGAAGGCCCAGACUGGUCUUGAACUGAGAGAUCUGCCUACCUCUGCUUCCCAAGUUCUGGGACUAAAGGUGUCUUCUUGCCUGCUUCUAAUAACACCAUGGACACAGAGCAAAGGGUUGGAGGAGUGUAGACCUUACCUGAUGAGCCUUGUCAGUUGAAAACCGUCAUGGACUCUAGAAGGGAGAAGACCAGAGGACCCCAAAAGCUUGAGGGCCAAGUGGCCUGAGUAUGCAGUAGCCAACCAGAAGAGAUCCUGCCUCCACAGAGUGGAAGAUGAAGACCAAGACUCAAGGUGUCCUCUGACCUUCCCAUGUGUGAUUUGACACCUGCACAUACAUAAC
rnacentral:lncRNA from 1 species